rnacentral:rRNA from 1 species
UGGGGAAUUUUGGACAAUGGGCGAAAGCCUGAUCCAGCAAUGCCGCGUGUGUGAAGAAGGCCUUCGGGUUGUAAAGCACUUUUGUCCGGAAAGAAAUCCUUGGCUCUAAUACAGUCGGGGGAUGACGGUACCGGAAGAAUAAGCACCGGCUAACUACGUGCCAGCAGCCGCGGUAAUACGUAGGGUGCAAGCGUUAAUCGGAAUUACUGGGCGUAAAGCGUGCGCAGGCGGUUUGCUAAGACCGAUGUGAAAUCCCCGGGCUCAACCUGGGAACUGCAUUGGUGACUGGCAGGCUAGAGUAUGGCAGAGGGGGGUAGAAUUCCACGUGUAGCAGUGAAAUGCGUAGAGAUGUGGAGGAAUACCGAUGGCGAAGGCAGCCCCCUGGGCCAAUACUGGCGCUCAUGCACGAAAGCGUGGGGAGCAAACAGGAUUAGAUACCCUGGUAGUCCACGCCCUAAAACGAUGUCAACUAGUUGUUGGGGAUUCAUUUCCUUAGUAACGUAGCUAACGCGUGAAGUUGACCGCCUGGGGAGUACGGUCGCAAGAUUAAAACUCAAAUGAAUUGACGGGGUCAUAGCUGUUUCCU